rfam:Brachyspira sp. CAG:484 genomic scaffold, scf118
GCCCUUGUGGCGCAGGGGUAGCGCACUCCCUUGGUAAGGGAGAGGCCACGAGUUCAAAUCUCGUCAAGGGCA